rnacentral:rRNA from 1 species
CCGGCGAGGGGAGUGAAAAAGAACCUGAAACCGUGUACGUACAAGCAGUGGGAGCACGCUUAGGCGUGUGACUGCGUACCUUUUGUAUAAUGGGUCAGCGACUUAUAUUCUGUAGCAAGGUUAACCGAAUAGGGGAGCCGAAGGGAAACCGAGUCUUAACUGGGCGUUAAGUUGCAGGGUAUAGACCCGAAACCCGGUGAUCUAGCCAUGGGCAGGUUGAAGGUUGGGUAACACUAACUGGAGGACCGAACCGACUAAUGUUGAAAAAUUAGCGGAUGACUUGUGGCUGGGGGUGAAAGGCCAAUCAAACCGGGAGAUAGCUGGUUCUCCCCGAAAGCUAUUUAGGUAGCGCCUCGUGAAUUCAUCUCCGGGGGUAGAGCACUGUUUCGGCAAGGGGGUCAUCCCGACUUACCAACCCGAUGCAAACUGCGAAUACCGGAGAAUGUUAUCACGGGAGACACACGGCGGGUGCUAACGUCCGUCGUGAAGAGGGAAACAACCCAGACCGCCAGCUAAGGUCCCAAAGUCAUGGUUAAGUGGGAAACGAUGUGGGAAGGCCCAGACAGCCAGGAUGUUGGCUUAGAAGCAGCCAUCAUUUAAAGAAAGCGUAAUAGCUCACUGGUCGAGUCGGCCUGCGCGGAAGAUGUAACGGGGCUAAACCAUGCAC